GGCAAAUACUACUAUAGGCAGCUCCAAAUCAUGGAUAAGAUAGUUCUACUCAUAUGCUUUUAGGCUAUCUGAGGCAUAUGCUACUAUCUUUCCAUUUUACAUAAGAAUACAUCUAACUUCUUUCUAGAGGUAUCACUAUAGAUAGAAAAAUCUCUACUUUCAGAUGGUAGAGUAAGGAUAGGAGUUGAUACAAUGAACUUCUUCAAUUCUUAGAAGCUUCUAUCAUAUUCCUUUGUCCAAUCAAAUUUAGUUUCUUUGUGAGUCAGCUG
rnacentral:lncRNA from 1 species